UCACUUAUUCUCUAGUGUCUUUGUGUUUCUUGUUUUCUCUUGUCUAGUACGGACGGAGCUGAUGAUGAACAGGAGAAGGGAGGACUACUUGGCGAAAGUGGCCAAGCGCUGAAACCGGGUGAUCGUGGAUUUGUGGGCCGUGCCCGUGUGCCAAAAGCAUCCAACAAGGACUAUAUUGUACGUCCAAAGUGGAAUGUGGACAAGGAGGCGAGUCGCAAGGGCAAGAAAGAGCCUGAUCGGUUUGAGAAGCAGCAGUUGAAGCAUAAACAAGGCAAGCAAUUGAACAAGACCAGACGUGCUGCCGCCGUCAGUCUCGUUGGCACAAAGAUGUCACUGUAAUCAAAACAAUACUCAGAGCAGCCCAUCCGCAUCUUCUGUACAGCAAAGUAGCAGAUAGAUUGCCAUCAAGAACACUGGUCACGGUAUGUUGUACAAGGGUCCUUGCAAGUGGAUAUAUUAUAAAUAGGUGUGUUGUAUUAGUACUUCCUUGCUUGCUUCUUGUUUAUCUCUAUUUAAGUAUAGUCUGAUGUUGUUAGGUUUUCACCCGUUAUGCUCCCAGUUUAUGUUGGUUUUUCGCGUCCUGUACUUGAUCAUUGCAUAUCUGUAUGUAGGUGUGCUGUGUGUGUGUGUGUGUGUGUGUGCGUGUGUGCGUGUGUGUGUGCGUGCGUGUGAACGUGUUUAUGUGUUUAUACAUACUGUACGUGCAAGCGCGGAUGUCACACUGAUUAUAGUGUGGCAGUCUCGUGUCUGUAUGCUCUACAUGAGUAAAUACCGUGACCUGCCACUACGCUGUUUUUUAUUGUUUUCAUCACCUUUCCCAUUCUCGCAGCAGAGCGAGCUGAAUGCAGGCUUUCACUCAUCCAUCCAUCCUAAACUUACAUCAUUUUCUCCUAUUUUUCAAGUAUCCUGUGAAUCAGUAUGUUUGUGAGCAGCAGAUGAAACUACCGUGUUGAACAGCGUUCACACACAAACUCUUACAACAAGUCAGUAAGCACAGUGUUGUUGUGCUUGAUGCUUGAUACAGUUGUUAUGCAUUGCAGCUGAAUGGUCUUUGUUGUCAGCUUGUCCUAUCCUUGCUGUGAAUGGUCUUGGUUCUCAGCUUGUCCUAGCCUUGCUGUUUGUUUUUUUGUUUUGUUUUUGUUUUACAAAAAAACCACACCAUUGGACGGCACAAAGCA